GUAAAAUUAAGAUAGACACGGUUCGUGCGCCGAAAUAAAUAAUUUUUUUAAAUCCUUUAAUUCAACCAAAUGACAGGUGUACAUAAUUCCGCUUGACAUCCUGAAACUAUCUUGAGUUUAUGUGGAUGUUGCACAUUCCUCUUAAAUA